rnacentral:rRNA from 1 species
GUCUAUGGCCAUACCACCCCAAAUGGGCCUGAUCUCAUGUCAUUUCAAAAGCCAAGUAGGAUCAGGUUUGGUUAAUAUUUGGAUGGGAGAAAAUAAAAAUCAUUCUGACU